rnacentral:tRNA from 1 species
GGCCUCGUCGCAUAGUGGAAUUGCGGUAGUCUACGGAACUAUUGUUCCUGGGUUCGAUUCCCAGCGAGGUCU